UACGUAGGGGGCGAGCGUUGUCCGGAUUUAUUGGGCGUAAAGAGCGUGUAGGCGGUCUAUUAAGUCAGUGCUGAAAUAUCCCGGCUUAACCGGGAGGGUGGCAUUGAUACUGAUGGACUUGAGUAGAGUUGAGGUUGGCGGAAUUGACGGUGUAGCGGUGAAAUGCUUAGAUAUCGUCAAGAACACCGAUAGUGAAGACAGCUAACUAAACUCUAACUGACGCUGAGGCACGAAAGUGUGGGGAGCAAACAGG
rnacentral:rRNA from 1 species